CAGAGUUUACAACUCCCAAACCCAUGUGAACAUACCUUUACGUUGCUUCGGCGGAGCCGCCCCGGCGCCCGGAACGCAAGUUUCGCGGCCCGGAACCAGGCGCCCGCCGGAGGCCACAAACUCUUCUGUUUUUACAGUAUCUUCUGAGCGUGCCGCAAGGCAACAUACAAAUGAAUCA
rnacentral:misc_RNA from 1 species